rnacentral:rRNA from 1 species
GAUGAACGCUAGCUACAGGCUUAACACAUGCAAGUCGAGGGGCAGCAUUGGGAUAGCUUGCUAUUCCAGAUGGCGACCGGCGCACGGGUGAGUAACGCGUAUCCAACCUUCCCCAUAGUAGGGAAUAGCCCGGCGAAAGUCGGAUUAAUGCCCUAUGUUCUCCUCCGAUGGCAUCAGACAAGGAGCAAAGGUUCACCGCUAUGGGAUGGGGAUGCGUCUGAUUAGGCAGCAGGCGGGGUAACGGCCCACCUGGCCGACGAUCAGUAGGGGUUCUGAGAGGAAGGUCCCCCACAUUGGUACUGAGACACGGACCAAACUCC